rnacentral:rRNA from 1 species
UGGGGAAUCUUGCACAAUGGAGGAAACUCUGAUGCAGCGAUGCCGCGUGAGUGAAGAAGGCCUUUGGGUUGUAAAGCUCUUUCGUCGGGGAAGAAAAUGACUGUACCCGAAUAAGAAGGUCCGGCUAACUUC